UACGAAGGGGGCUAGCGUUGCUCGGAAUCACUGGGCGUAAAGCGCACGUAGGCGGAUUGCUAAGUCAGGGGUGAAAUCCUGGAGCUCAACUCCAGAACUGCCUUUGAUACUGGCGAUCUCGAGUCCGGGAGAGGUGAGUGGAACUGCGAGUGUAGAGGUGAAAUUCGUAGAUAUUCGCAAGAACACCAGUGGCGAAGGCGGCUACUG
rnacentral:rRNA from 1 species